rnacentral:rRNA from 1 species
GAGGAAUAUUGGACAAUGGGGGAAACCCUGAUCCAGCAAUGUCGCGUGAAUGAAGAAGGCCUUAGGGUUGUAAAAUUCUUUCACUCAUGAAGAUAAUGACGGUAAUGAGAGAAGAAGCUCCGGCUAACUCUGUGCCAGCAGCCGCGGUAAUACAGAGGGAGCAAGCGUUGUUCGGAAUGACUGGGCGUAAAGGGUGCGUAGGCGGUCUUUUAAGCAAGGUGUUAAAGCCCCGGGCUCAACCCGGGAAUCGCGCUUUGAACUGGAAGACUAGAGUACGAGAGAGGAAAGUGGAAUUCCUAGUGUAGAGGUGAAAUUCGUAGAUAUUAGGAGGAAUACCAAAAGCGAAGGCAGCUUUCUGGAUCGUCACUGACGCUGAGGCACGAAAGCGUGGGGAGCAAAC